rnacentral:misc_RNA from 1 species
GCGACCCCAGGUCAGGCGGGGCUACCCGCUGAGUUUAAGCAUAUCAAUAAGCGGAGGAGGGCGGGGGCGGCGGGACGGGCGCG